rnacentral:lncRNA from 1 species
AUGGCUUUAAGGCGACCAGAAGUGCCUGUUCCCGAGUAGACCUCUGGGCAGGAUGUCCCUGCCCUUUGGGACAUACACUGGGCUUUCAGCUAUGAUGAUGACUUCAAGGAUUCUACACCCAUGACUCCUCCUCCAUCGGACAUGGGCAGCAUCCUCUGGAAGUCAGUGAUUCCAGAUCACAAGUAUCAGCACCUUACCAAGGUAGAGGACCCACCCAUGACACUAUCACCGGCCAUUGACAGUACAGAGAAGGUCCUGCUAGUGAAAACUAAAGCUACCCAUUCAUCAGAAAUUAUUUGAUCACAAAACAGACACAGAAGAGCACUUAACAUUUUGAGCAAUAGGCAGGGCUACAUACCCUCCAAGAGACUUACCCUCAAGAAGACCAAGCACCUUUGAGUGACAGAAGCGCUUCAUGAACUAAAGCUAUGGAGUGGGGAGAUAACAAAAGAAAAGAAGCUCAGUGUAUCAGCCCAGUCCAUCCAAGCAGCAAUCCCCACUCAUCCCCUAAGCAGAAGCCCAGAGGCCAGUCCACUGUGGUUCUUUCACAUCUUUACCUGGCCCAGAUCCAGCACCAUGUAUUCUGAAAGUGGAGGUGAGGACAGAAACAGAUCAUAUAAAUGCAGCAUCCUUGGACCAAGAUCCCCAGAAGUAUGAUCUGGGAGGUUUUGCCAGCCAGGGCUACAGAGGAGCCCAGAAGCCCCCUCUAAUAGAACUGAUCCAUGUCCAGAUCACCUAAAUAGCUGAAGAUUAAGAAACCUUCAAGCUACCCAAGAUAAACAUCUCAGUGAUGGAAGAGAAGAAAUAACCACCAAGGACCCAUAACCUCAAACCCUCUGACUUGAGUAUACUCACAUCCACUGCUUU